CCUACGGGAGGCAGCAGUGGGGAAUAUUGGACAAUGGGCGAAAGCCUGAUCCAGCAAUGCCGCGUGAGUGAAGAAGGCCUUCGGGUUGUAAAGCUCUUUUACCCGGGAAGAUAAUGACCGUACCGGGAGAAUAAGCCCCGGCUAACUCCGUGCCAGCAGCCGCGGUAAUACGGAGGGGGCUAGCGUUGUUCGGAAUCACUGGGCGUAAAGCGUGCGUAGGCGGCCAUUCAAGUCAGAGGUGAAAGCCCAGGGCUCAACCCUGGAACUGCCUUUGAAACUAGGUGGCUGGAACACGGGAGAGGUGAGUGGAAUUCCGAGUGUAGAGGUGAAAUUCGUAGAUAUUCGGAAGAACACCAGUGGCGAAGGCGGCUCACUGGACCGUUGUUGACGCUGAGGCACGAAAGCGUGGGGAGCAAACAGGAUUAGAUACCCUGGUAGUCCACGCCGUAAACGAUGAUAACUAGCUGUUGGGGCUCUUUGAGCUCCAGUGGCGCAGCUACGACAUUAAGUUAUCCGUCCGUCGGGUAGGUACGGCCGGCCGAACGGUUAAAACGUACGAAAUAGAAGUUAGACGGCGUGUAGACGUUGCCGACGGCGACGACGAGGGGAGGUUAGG
rnacentral:rRNA from 1 species